GUGGACAGUGUUCCGCGGCUCUCUGCCUGAGAAGGAGGAGGAGGGCGGCGGGCAGCAAGGGGAGGGGCUGCAGUACGGGGAUGCGCGUGUCAGGCAGCGAUGAGGAGAAGGAGGGCGCUUCCAGUUGGGAGGGAGAGAGAGUCGUGAAUCUCAUAGCAAGAGAGAAGAGACUUUCUAUCCAUCUGAAACAUGAGUGGCUGUUCAAAGAGAUGCAAGCAUGGGAUUGUCAAAUUUUCCCAGACUAUUUUUAAACUCAUCACGGGCACUCUCAGCAAAGUAGGACCCAUGUGGAGUGCUGGAUCCAUUCAUGGAGGUAUGCUGGAAGGAGAGAGCAGCAUCCUGGCGCUGGACCCCAGCUUCACCACAGCUACAACCAAGGGAUUCACAGCCACAAGCAGCUACACAGCAGAGGGAGGCGCAGGAUGUCCACAGAGGGAACCAAGGUCUUCACCUUACCACCAGCCCAGAAAGACAAGCACCUUUAGUCCCACUGUGAACUGCUUCAAACCCACUGGUGUUCAGACAUGAACCAGGCUAGCUGAAUUGAAUUUGUGUUAUGGUCAGAUUUACUUUGUCCAGGCCAGGUGUACUGUGACAAUACUAUGACAGGAACAGUCACAUAUUGAAAAUUAUAUGAGUCAGAAGCACAAGGUGCUAAAUAUGGGCAUGCCUACAUCAAGCACAGGCAAACUAUAGGACUGGCUGCUUCCUUUAAAGUAUCUACAUUAACUGUUUGCUGGAUUUGCUGUUAACUCACCAAUUUCAUGAGAGUUGAGAAUGUCCUCAAGACAUUUUUACACAGAUACUUUACCAUUAAUUUUGAAUGGUUUGUUUAGCUUCCAACUUCACAGCGUGGUGGCUGUGAAGUUCUGAUGACUCCCUGAGUGGAAGAGAGCUGUUCUGUGAUGAGCGUCCCCUAGACAUGUCAUACCUGCAGUAAAGCUUAAUUGCUGUUAUUCCUCUUCAAAGUUACUGAUAACUCUCUAACUACUGUGUCUUGAAACUGAAGCUACAGAGGAUUCUUAGCUGUUUGCUGCAUCCAGCUGUCUGUGGGUACACACAGCGUUCAGAGAAAAGGAGCAUGUUUUUCAGUCAGAGAGUAAGUGCAUAUGUGCUUUCUCAGUCUGGAUCUGGUGUGUAAUCAGUUCUUAAUAAUGCUAUUCCAGGUAGAGAAGCUCUCAAUGAUAAAAAGAAAAAAUCUAACCAUCACCACAAAAAACUCCAAUCCACAAAACCUAUAAAAUCAAACAAACAUCACAAAGUAAACUUAGAACUGUGGAUUUAGAAGUAUUAAGCAAUAUUGUUGUUUAUCCUUGCUUUAUUAAAUAGGCACAAGGAGGUAAGUGUCUAUGCCUAGCAAGGGGAAGGUGAUCAGUUGACUGGCUCUAGAGAAUUUCUGCCCUGUACUCUGCUCAGUUUAUAGUCAGAAGCACAAGGGAGGCAUUGCUCCAAGACCAUGUCCUCUUCCACCUUACUCCUUUUGUCUGCUACUGUGACUUGUGCUAUCUCACUGUUACAUGCUGAUCUGUAUCAACAGUAGCAGCAAACCUGGAUAACACAUUUUCAGCAUAGUUAGAAUCUGGGGAAAGGGACAUGCCACUCUUGGAUGGAAGUUGGACUGAGCUGUAUGUAAAACAGUUGUUGCAGGCUUUUGUAGCAGUUUGAAAGAAGAGCAGUGAUGGAUACUUCUGUUUUCAGAGGGUUUCAGAAGAUCAGUAGAUGAGCAAGUGUGAUUUUUGUGAAAGGACUGCUAGGCUGGAUGUGUUUUCUCUAUCUCCUUCACUCUCAGAAAGAUUUGGUGCCAUGUCCUUUUGCUGUGACCCGUGUAAAGGUGUGUGGUUUCACAUGCCUUCAAGUGCAAGAAGUGCCAGAGAAACAGACUGUUAGAUAACAUAUUUCCUAGCAGAGAAACUCCAGGUACUGGGAAUAUGACUGCCCUUUUCAUUUUAAUUUCUCCUUGCUUACCCCAUGAGCACAUACGUACACUGCUGCAGCUAGUCCCUCUUGCAUGUCCUAAGCCUGAGAUUUGGGAAUUCCUAGAUGUUCAGAAGGCAGAAGACAGUGCUGCCUGCUGUCUGCAUCCUACAAUCCAUCCUGGUGGAAGGAAGAGGCUGCCUGAGGGGUUAAGACAGACCCUUCAGCACAAACUGAGGUACCCUGGAAGAGGCUAUGCUUCUGCAGCCCUGGCUUUUGCUCUGUAGGGCACAGGCUGAGCUUAGACUUGGAUUUCAGGCUGUUGAUUGCAACAGAGCAACUAUAUUUCUUAUUCAGCAUUCUAGGGAGUAAAUAUUUGGUUCACAUCACUUUACAACUUGAACAGGGAACAGAAUGAGGCAUGAGGACAAGGUAAUAAAAGACUGAACCUCAUUUUGAAAUCAUUCGUACCUAGCAUAAUUUACAAGUUCAUAGAAACAAGAGCAAAGGCCUGAAUGUAAUUUAGUACAAACACACUUUAAGCAAUGCAAGUUAGUGCACUUUGCAUUGAGGUGCCAGAACCAAGGGGACUCUGCAACUCCCUGCUGCCCUCGCAGCACCCUCAGGACAGCAGCUGGGAUUGGCUAAGGGUGGCUCUCCAGGGAAAGCAGUGACUUGCAGCUGGGCUUGGGAAGGACAGAGGCUUCCCUGUAGCUGGGCUGUGCUGGCUGUGCUAGCUGCAGUGGCACUUUGUGGUUUCCGACAGCAGAGGGUAGUGUUACCUGUGUCUGGAAACAGAGGCUGCUUCAAAAUGAUUGCUCUAUUCAGCCUGUUUAAUUCAAACUGCUAGGGAGUUAAACAUUUAUGGCAGAUGUAUACAUGCAUCUUUACUGAAAAUAUUUUUUCUGUGAAUGAGAUACACAGCCCAUUAGUUCUUUAACUCUGUACCACAGUACUGAUAUUUAGCUUGUAAAGCUUCCCAGGCUGCUAUUUUCUGAGAGCAUUCCUGUGUAGUAGCUUCCUCUAGUAGCAUUUUGCCUUGCUGCUUUAUUUUGGGUAGAAUUCGAUUUUUUCAAAUGUCACAUCUUUUACAGAAAUACAUUUCCUCUGAUGACUGCCUCCCACAUGAGGCAUGAGAACAAAUUUGCAGUAUGACCCACUUAAAGACAACUGUGUAAUUACUGCUCCCAACUACUCGGUACCCCUGGUAGGUGAUUCUGAGAUCUCCAUGCUGACAGAGAGCUGUGGACAGGAGCCCCCCACCUCACAUGUGCCCCUGGGUCCUGCAGCCUCUGGGCAAUGCCACACACACAGAGGCCAGCUGAUGCUGUGGUGACCCAGCUGAUGCUGUGGUGUUGUUUGACUUGGCAGAGGAGUCUGUGUUGUUAGUUCAUUUUUGAGGAAACAGUGAUGGCUCCCAGCCAGCUAAAUGCUGUAUUCCUUGAGCCAAGGUGCGUGCUAUGUCCCUUGGGCCUCCUGUAUGCCUCUAGCAUCAGCCUUGUCAUUAUUGAGCUAACAGGGUGUUGUGGUUUGACUCUGGCUGGAUGUCAGGCACCCACAAAAGCCACUCGCUCACCCCCCUCUGCAGCUGGACAGAGAGGAGAAAAUAAAACUAAGGGUUCAUGAGUUGAGAUAAGGACUGGGAGUGAUUGUUCACUAAAUACCAUUAAGGGCAAAAAAAAAUCUCAAUUUAGAGAUAUAAAGUAAAUUGAUUGCUAACAAAAUCAGAGAAGGGUAAUGAGAAGCAAAACAAGCCCCUAAAACCACCUUCCCCCAUCCCUCUCUCUUUUCCAGCUGUACCUCCUAACCCAGCAGUAGGAAGAGGCAGGGAAUGGGGGUUAUGGUCAGUCCAUCACUCACAGCUUUUCCCAUUGCUCAGGGAUGGGAGUUGUUCCCCUUGCUGCACUGUGAGGUCCUUCCCAUGAGGGACAGUUCUCUCUGGACUACUCUGAUGUGGCUCCAUCUCAUGUGCAACAGUUCCUUUUGACUUGCUGAAACUUGAGUCUCUCCCCUGGGUAACAGCCCUCCCAAAAUUGCUGUGGUGUGGGUCACUCUUCCACAGGGUGCAGUCCUCCAAGGACAGGCUGCUCCAACAUGGGAGCAGGGGCCCUCUCUUCAUGAGUCUCCCACUGGAUCACAGCCUCCCCUCAGGCAUCUUCCUGCUCCAGCAUGGGCACCUCCUUCACGGGCUAUGGAUGGAUCUCUGCAUUCCCUGUGGAUCUGCCUGGGUUGCAGGGGCACAGCUGCUUCACCAUGGUCUUCACCAUGGCCUGCAGAGGAAUCUUGGCUCCGGUUCCUAAAUUGCCUCCUCCCCCUCCCUCUCCACUGAUCUUGGUGUCUCCGUGUUGUUCUCCUCUCACAUACUCUCACUGCACUCUUCUCUGACUGGAAAAUUACAAAUGAGC